rnacentral:lncRNA from 1 species
UAAUAAUGCCAAACUUAGAUUUCUUUCUUCAAUGAGUAACCCAUCAAGUCACUUCUCACUGUAUCUCAACCAACCAUAUCAGAAAAGAACCAUGCAACAUCUACCCUUUAACCAUUUAUCAUAAAGAUUAGUUUCUAUUAAAAUUCAUUCCCACCUAUAUUCUUGUUCCAACUUCCUCUCACUGCAACCCUAUCUUUCUUUCAUGUAUAACUAAAAGAAACGUAUGAAUCAAUACUCUGUAAAUCACCGAACCAUCAAAUAAACAACUUUCAGUCACCCAACCCUCUUCUUAUUCUCUUUCGUCUUUCUUUGAUUUUUAAUAUUAUCCUAGAAGUUCACGAAAUAAACCAAACGCAACCCACUCCCAUCCUAUGCACGUACUCUAAACCUAAUUCCUUCUUCAAUUUCUAUUUUACAGUACAACAUACCUAUACCCUAUUCUCUUCACUCUUCAUUAAUCCCAGGCAUAAAACUAACCCUUUUCUCUCCUAUGUAUAUGAAUAUUACACUUUCUUUCCUACCAUAAUUUAUCUAAACCCUUCCUCUGCAACGUUCCUAAAUCCUCUCUACGACUAUUUUAAAUUUCAAUACUAUAAACUCCCACCAUCCACCAUACUUCUUCUCUUUUUCUUUUCGUUCUCUACUUCCACAAACCAUUCUCCUUACGUAUACUCUAGAGACCAACUGGAACAGCAAACACUAUACCAAAAUCAUCACUCAACAUAAUUCAAAGUUACUUAUUCAAAACUGUUGUACAUACAGGUCUUAAAUAUGAACCCACAACUAAACUAGAAUCUUCAUUACACUACCCAAUAUCAGUCACUGCAUAUUUACUUCUUGCAUGUAUUAAUCUUCUAAACGUAAGUUAAAUACAGCACCCGAGAACAACAUAUAUGAUCAACCAAAAAAAAUUAGAGUACCAUUAAUAACUAUCAUCCUGUACCAAAGAACUUAAAUUUCCCAGACUAGAAUCGAAAUUCACAUGCAUGCUUAAGCUAUUUUUGCAUUCAGUUUAAACUUAAAGAAGACAGAAAAAGUAGAAUUCUGUCCUAUACCAAUACAAGCAUACGAUUUUUCGUCAGACUAUCUUCGACCUAGCCAAUAACAACAGAUAAAAUUCAUCAAAGAACCCGGAACAACCCAAAAACAAAUAUAAUCCAAACAGUAUCAUAUGCACAAUUAACCACCCAUGCUUUGUGAAGUCGCAAUUCGUAAAACAUAAAACAAGUUCAGCUUCUCUUACCUUAGAUAAAUCCUAGCUUUCUUUCUUUGCCCAAGAUUGAGAACCCAAAACUUUCACCUCCUUCACGUUACCGUUCUUGCUUCCAAGAAAACUCCAAAAUACUCUUUUGAUUUUUACUAUCUCCUACUACACACACUACUUUAUCCUCUUUUCGUUAAACUUUACAUUCCCCCAAUUUUUCCAGAGCCCCUCCCUUAAAUAAACCACCCAAUCCACUAACCCCUAUUUGUUGCCUUUCUUUUCGGGAAGUGGUUCCAAAACUCACCUAAGAUAUUUUAAUUAUACUGUUACCCAAAUUUUAAAAUGAGCUAAGUGGCCCUACAAUAAAUAUUUAAAAUAUA